UAUUGGAGCAAGCGCUUACGGCGGUACCGGAAAAAUAUCGUCCGGCGACGAUGAACGCACCACACAGAGCCCAGUCACCUGCUCUUCUACUUCCGGUUCAAACGACCCAUCCCGAUAGUAUUUUCGUUUUUGUUAUUCCGUUUUCGGCACAAAAUCGGCUGCACGAAAAACGACUUGUUUUUUGUUUGAUGGAAUUCGUUUUCAAGACGAAUAAUAAAACAACGAGCCAUUAUUUUGUUUUAUUUGUAUCAUUUCAACUUUCGUUACACAACAAAAAUUGAACGAACGAAUCCUACGUGCAGCGGGACAUUUGACAAUGGAGAUACUCCAGAAGCAAAAUUGACAGUCACCGCGGCCUUGACAUCGACAUCUGGACGACAGAAGACAGAAGACCAUAAGAGCAGCGCGAGCCACCGUUGCUCAACACGUGGAUCGGCGCUUCCCCCAGCACAGGACAUGCUGCAACACCUCAGGCUCGGAUGAGAAGGGAGCGGCAGCAGUCUGGAAUCGCAACACUUCACAGAAAACGGACGAGCAUCCCUGGCCCCAUCUGCGUCCUAACCUCGCUGUCCCACCUUCCUCCGGGCGACCCCAUGGACCACAGGGGAAAUAGAGGAGGAAGCGUGCUCGCAGUUCCUUUCCGCUUGACACCAGGUAACACCCAGUAUGAAACAAAAACACAGUACCACACACACACACGCACGCACCACAUCAGUGGGCUGCAGGACCAAAUACUUUGUUAGAGAUAAGUUGAAUGCAGAUCCAGAGCAACUUUUAAAUGUGGUGUUAUGAUACCUGCGUUACCGAUCUGACACGCUGAGCUGCUGCACAGGUAAGAAAUGUCUACUCAAACAAACAGCAAGUGCCCCGGGCCAAGGUGAGGCCACUCACACUGACAAGGGUUUUAGCUUCGGGACAUUAAGAACCAGUUCCAAAGGUAUAACCAGAUAUAUAGCACAUAUAUGGACAGAAGAGAUUAACCCUUACUGUCAGCAACUUGGAUAAGAGAACGCAACUCUUGUGAGAACCGCACACAUUUGGCUGACUUUGUCACUAUCAAUCACUUUGACGGAAGCAAUUUGAGAGGAGCCCGACAUUUACAGCUGUGGGGCGCUAGACGUCUCCAGACUGCACGUUGGGAAGAACAACGUAACCAAAAAGUGAAGGAGCCGUGAAGGGUGUGGCAAGUGAGGAGGAACACGCUGAAAAGUCGCCGCCAACAAUGACGAAUCCAAAAUGUAGUCCAGCAUCGAUGCUGGUCAGGCUGCACACAUCCGCUUUUAAACAACUGAAAUAUCAAAGUUUAGCUUUAAUGGCAUUUUUUCUGACGUGAAAUGAAAUAAUUGUGUCUGAAAUGUGUUCUUUCCUUGCACCCCUUAUGCUAUAAAACCUGGUUUCAAUUAGCUUGUCUUUCCAAACCACUACAUUCCAUUACUCCCCCUCGUCGCCCCCGCGCAGCCCAUCCCCCCCCCACACUCUAACUCUUGCUCUCUUUUCCCUUCUUCCACUCUUCUCCUCCUCCUCCUCCUCCUCGCUUUCCUCUACACAGCCCUGUCCAAGUUGAGAAACUUUCAGUGAACAUGCAAGUAAUAUAUGGCUCUAUUGCCUAAGAACUGAAACAUCCAGUUCAUUUCACCCGCAGUAGCAAAAGAAAAGCACAUAUCUGCAGCACAUUUCAAGACAUGUACAACUAGGAGCCCCUCACACCCUUGUAUCUCAUGGAGGAGCUUUCUUUCUGUGAAGGGUGUGCCUUUGCUCUUAUGGGACCAACACGGGGAAGAAAAAAAGAAGGAGGGGAAAGGAGGAGAGGAAUCCACACCCAAGCUUGCAGAAUGUUUCAACAUGGAACUACUACUUCAUUGUUGGGGAGUGGUCUGUUCUGGAUCAGUCUGGUGGUGGGGUCAGGACUGCAGACUGGCUGUGUACCUCCCUGGAUCCGGACAGGUCACACUUUCGACUGCUUCCAGAAAUGACUGGUUUCCGAAGGUCCACGGUCUGUGGAGGAAUGUGCGCUAGGUUGGAUGGCCACUCCAUGGAAACGGUUUGAUGCGAACUUUCUUUCAUUUCAUUUGAUUCCGUUUCAACACAGAAAGCAACACAGCGAAGUGCAGAAACCUUAUUAGCUGGUUGACCUGACUCUGAAACAUGCUCAAGCAUUGCCUGAAAACGAACCCGUGUACAAAGAUUUAGGUCAGUGAAAGGAACCGGAGAGUCGCAGGUUCACAUUCUGCAUAGCCUGUAGGACUGACUGAGCAACAUUGUUGGACAUCAGUUUUGUUUUUCAGCCUCCCUACAUGCAGCGAGUCGUUUCAGCCAGGAGACAUUUUCCAAGCAGAUGUAUACUUCAAGACGCACUUGAAUGUUUAAGUCCAGUUGAUAAGGAAUCCUCAGUCAAGAGCUACGUUUUGGCCUCAUUAGGUUGUUUUUUCCAACUACCAUUCAGUGGUAACAGUCCACCCAGCAGUUAUCUCCAUUCUCUUCAUCUCAUAUGUUGAGCUCCCGCUGAGUUUUAAUUGAGACAAAACCCAAUUCAUUUGAUGCAAGUAACUUGCUGCUUGGGUCCAAUGAAACGUUUUUGUCGCGGUUACCUUCGUUUUGAUUGGUGUCCAUGUCCUGCCCAACAUGUGACUUCACUCUCCGUCAGCUAAUCUCACUCAAAUGUGUCUCGCUGCCUCGCUGCCCGAGACUCUUUUGGAAAUUACACACCAGAGGCAUAAACAUGCUAUUACUGUGCUUAAGUGACUGCAAGUCAAUUGACAAAGUUGUCAUUACUGGAAUGACUCAGGAGGACUCACAAGGAGCCGACGACUUUUCUAUCAACAGGUAUGGACUGCUGAAUGUGACAGUAAUAAGAGAGACAGUUUUUCAAGGUUGGUUGAACUAAAGAUUUCUGUUUAAAAUACUGGUGAGGGAUUGUGUGUGUCGCCGACACUCAAGGUUGGUUUGAUGAUAGACUCGAUCAGGAUGCGAUCGACAGGGUCCCACAUGGCUCCUUUGCUUCGUAAUGCGAUGUCAUUCAAAGGUAUCCAUCAGAAAUGAAGGGCCGUGGUCGGCCCCUCCCCCACCGUACCCGAAUAUAGUCCACCUCCCAGCCAAGCAGCUGCUGCACAAACACUUACGGUUGGUGUUUACUAUGCAGAAUUUAGCAGGUGUUGCUGCACAAAUGUUAUUUAUUUAUCCAGGUUUUAUUGCUGAGCGAGAAAUACGAAGAGGUGACUCGAGCGUUGGCUGUUUGAACAGGCUGGCUGUAGAACGUGCCAGAUGUGUCACACCGUAGAAGGUCGUGUAAAAGACGAUGUGCGAGUGAUGUCUUCGACCGAGCUGUCGUUUGGAGGGCGACGCCUCGUGAACUCUACUGUUUGAACUGCAGAAAAGAUGAACCAAACAUCGCAGUCGGAGAGAGGACAAGAGCUGUCCAACUCUUUUGUCUCCUGCUGCACGAAGGGCCCUGAGCUCCUCCAGUUCAUAGGUCUGUGCAUGUGCUGAAACUUCAGGCAAGCAUGUCACCCCUCGCUGCUCUCUGGUUGGUUCCCUGUUCUCAGUGAGCUGCGCUCAUCAAACCGCUUUCUUGUCAAGCCUCUUCACAAGCCUGAGUGAGGGCACUUGAGGAAGCCUCUGACAGUGCGUAGGUUGUUGCUCCUCUUGACUGAGCCUGGUCACACAUUAUUUAGAGGAACUUCACAAGUGGUGCAGAAUGAGCACCAUCUUUCCCCCCCAUUUGUCACAAGGGGAAAAAACAGAACAAAUUCCUGUUGUUUUUUUUUUACCAGUCACCAGAGCUUCCAAGAACAUGAAAAGAAACUCAGUUUUUUUAAUUAUGCUUGCUUUACAGUUUUAUUGAGUCCUGCAGAAAGCACAUACUUAGCAUAGUAAGGAAGAAAUACGAUUGUGAAUUGUUCUGUAAUGUAGGUAAUGGGCAUCUACCGCCGACACUGGCCCUUUGCUAGUGUUUACACGGCGCUCAAAACGUCAAAGCAAAACUACAGAACAACUCGUGAGUUACUUUUUGUCUUGUUUUCACCCCAUUUUAUGUGCCAGUUUUCUUCUAUUAAUAGAAGAUUUAUACAUAGAAUAUAUAAUAGAAUUUAUAAUUUGAAUAAUUCUAAAGCUUUAUUCUUAGAACACUGCUCACAAAGUGCUUUACAGGCAGAUCAUGAUUAUAUAUAUAUAAAAACUUCCUUUCCUCAGAACAGUCACACUAUGCAAUAUGGCCCUUUAAGAAAUUGAAUUACCUACCCCUGCUCUAUGGCCAAAGCACAGACUGUAACAUUAUAAGCCAACACCGACAAAAAAAAAAAAAACUGCUACAAAGGUUCAUCCAUAUUUGUGAGCAGCACUGAAAAACCAUUCUUUUAAAAAGGCCAUUUUCUGCAUCCCAUUUCAGCUUUGAUCUACAUUUGCUGAGUGCUCAGCUGGAGAAUGACUCUUCAAUUGACCCUCUAUAUAGCAUACGUAUAACAAAGCAUUGUCCUUCCAACAAGAACAUAUCUGUCUCAGUUCCUCUGCAAGUGCUGCAGAACCACUUCCAGCAUUGAGAAACUGACUCUGCAAGCUUAGACACAACACUGUCACACCCAUUCAAUAGCAAACAGGGCACCGCCUGAUCUCGCACGCUGAAAAAUGAGAAUACAAAAUGUUCUUUUACAAAGCAUCCCAAAUAGUUUUCAGCGUGAAAGGUGAUCUGCGCCACCCCUAAAGGGUCAUUUUGGGUGAGCAAAUGAAAGCGUCCUGAACUCACGAGGCGAAUGAAGCCUUCUCAUUUCUGGAAUGAAAGUUGUGUCAUAAUGCGCGUGACUGUGCAGACUGUUGGUGUGAGGCGGUCGACACAUUAAUGUGUGGUUACUGGCGUAGAUUGGCGCUUGUGUUAAGAAACAGAAACUUAGAGAAAAUCCCUGUGCUGCUUCAGGGAGUGGCCCACACACACACACACACACACACACACAAUACCACAUUACACGAGGAGAUCAGAUUGUUUUUCUAAACAAUAUGGGCGCAGCCCUUGAACAAUAGAUGAGCAACUGGUGAUGGGAGGCAAACGUGUCCGACUAGGGGAACGUACAGGAGAUAUAAAAUACGACUAGCAACACUAGCUAGUCUUGUGAAUGUGCUAGCAGGGAGUUUGAAUUGUGCUCUUCACAGUUUUUUCUUUGGUUUGCACCAAAUGUUUUCUUGAUAAAAAGACUAGUCCUAACCACCGUUUCACUAAGGUGUGUCCAGCUUCACUGUCCAUGGGAAUGUUAAGAGGAGUAUAUCUGGAUGGUGAUCUUUACAACUAACUAGGCUGAGUGGGAGCAGAGCCACUGGAAAAGUUUAGGUUGAUGACUAAAGGUGCAAUGAAGAUGUUUCGCUGACAUUUUAGCUCUCAUUUGCAGCUGAAGCUCAGGAAUGCAAGCAGGGCAGAACUGACAGUGAGUAUCAAUAUUAUUUUGUGAUGGUUAUGUUAUUUUGUGCAAUUGGUCGUGGAUGAUCGGAUGGUCACUCUAAAGGUGAAAGUCUAUUUACUCUCCAAGUGACGUCUUCUGCACUGGUCUGGAAGAUUUAAGACGCAGACUGAAGGUGAAGCAGAAUAUUCGGACACUGAAACUAGUUUAACAGAGACUAGCCCUCCACCACGGUUCCUUGUCUCAAAACUUUCACAAAAUAAAGUCCAGCUGAAACUUCAUAGCUUAAACAGUGUGUGUCUGACGGGUUGGAACACCACCCCAGGGCCCUCUGAGGACCGAUCUGGACGAUGGGUUGUGGUGCAGGGCUGAGUGUCAGCGGUGGGACUUAGAAGCUUGCACUGCAUCACCUCUCCUUGCAGAAAAUGCGACUGUGACUUUUACUCUCAGAAGGAAACUGACGCAAUUCAAACAAACCUCGUGUAAAGACGUCUUGGCAUGUGCAGCGAUGGUGUGAGAGAUCAGAGCAGAUCACAAAUUAUGCUGCCACCCACUUUCUUUCUGAAGGACAGGAAUCAAACGGCAACACCUGCAGAACACCUGCGUGAAGCCAAGUCAGGCCAAAUUGUCUUUUAAUAUCGUCAUGUGUUGCUGGUCUUGCGCUGGUGUACAUUUAAUAACAAGCAUCCUGCUGCGACACCUAUUUGCUCAGCUCAGCUCUGUAUGUUUGAUAUUUUGCUUAUGGGGUGUGGCUGUUUUAGCCUCCGCAGAUCAUUUUCAGUUGAGAUCAAGUGCUGCUUCCACACGGCCCGUGUCAUGUGCUCUUUUGUAAAUGUUGGAUGGCCUGAAGAAGUUGUGUGCUCAGCAGCCCUCAGCUGGUAGUUGUUGGUACACCAAACUAAGUCAAUGAGCAAAGCCAUGUAUUUUUGCAUUUCCUGCUUUUACGGUACUUGUGUCAGUUAUUCUGCAAGCGGAAGGUUCAGAGGUGGUUUUUGUGGAGGUAAACAGGCUUCCCACGUCGAUUUUCUGUCUGGCUUGAGCAUAAGGCUACAUGGGAAAGGGUGUGUUUCCUGCUUCUAGGUGUGUCAACCAGAGUGAACUCGUGCAAAUAGCUUGGCUCAAAGGCACGAUGAGUCAUGGCUCAUGACUACAAUGAAAACAUGGCAGGUCACAGACCAGAAUAUGAAAUCAGAGGAUUAGAAAGGGAACACAAGUCUGAAUGACUUUUUUGUGCUGGCGCGUCUGUAUUCUUCUAUUCAAGAGCAUUCACAUCAUGCUAUAAGAUCUGUUAGGAGAGCUGCGCUUCGUCACCAGGAACAUGAGUUACGGCCAGGGAGCGUCCUGUCGAGUUCGUGCACAUGUGGGAAUGUGUGCCUGAUUAUAGUUUGGCAGGUUCAGUCAAGGUGGAGAUGACUUGAGUAAUCGCGUCAAGUCUGAUAAGAUAUAUCAACUCAUGUGAGUAUAAUCCAGCGGCCCAUGACUUUCAAUAGAUGUUUGCUGGAGGGGCAAACAUUGAUACUUUUGUAAGAAUGUCACGUUCAGGUCAAGUCUUUGUGUCGGUCUGAACAUUGGUAUAGUCACUUCAAAUGUCAUCCGAUAAAAAUGUCUUCUUUUUGUCUGAUUAAAAUGCAAAGCUACAAUAACAUUUAUUAAUAUUUAAUAAUACACAAUUCCAUGAGUCAGACAAAUAACUGAGUCAUUUCAAAAGACACUGUUAGGCAACGUCGUCACGUUUGGCGUUUCCUGGAUGUGGGCCCGGCCUCACAAGUCGGUACCGACGCCCCAACACUGAUGCCAGUGAAGCAACAGCGUUCUGCAGUCUUUGUUAUUAAGGACACGUUCAUGUUUGAAGUGAAAACUCGAUUCUGUUUUAAACUCAAAUCUCAUCAUUCAGCUCGGCAGUCAUCACAUUCAAAAUGUAUAAUCCAGUUACACGUUAUAUAUAAACAUAUAAUGCAACUAUUAUUACUGCCCGUGACAUGAUUUCAUGUUUCAUUAUGUGUAUAAUCAGGGUUGCGCGGUCAUUCUCGCUACAUAUCCCAUAAUGACAGUGAAUGUUAUUGAAUCUUUAGAUUUAAGUGCUUGAGAUAGUUUUAGUUUUGCAUCCGUGGUGAAAGAGUUUUGAGUCUGGUGCUUCGGACAGAAGCCGCACGACUCACCAAACACAACACAUUUACGCUGUCGACUGGUCUGUUUGGCUGCAAAGUGAAUUCAUUUUGGACGAGAGUGGUUUAAUGUGCUUUUGGCAAUAAAAAAUGUAAAAAUAUUCAGCAUGUUUUCCUCGACUUGGCUCAGAAAAAAAGACAAUUUAAUCACACAAUAAACUGCUUCAAUAACAUUCCUAAGCAUCGAUCAAGUUCGAUUCCUCUCCAGCAGGUUUGAACAUCAUGAUCUUGGCUGAUGCGCCGAGGAAGAAGAAGCAUUUGAGCAGGGUUUGGCUGAUGAUUGCCUUUGUUUCUUAUAGAAACCUGCAGGUUUACUGUUGACACAGACAACAUGUCGCCUUUAAUGUAGCUUCAGCAGUUGAUGAAAUCCUUGUCGAGUCAAAGUACGACUUUCUCUGGCUGUAAUCUCUGUUGAUAAACACAAUCAACAACAUCAGAGGUCACAUAGAGGCGCAUUGUCUUCCUCUCAAUCGGUCAAUAAAAGUCAUCUGAGGCAUUUCCAACCGCUGGAAUCCACUACACAAACCAGCUUGAGAGCAAACACAACAGUGCAUUGUACUUGCAGUUUUUAACAAUGCAACAUUGUGGAAAUAGUGUCACUCUCGUCGCCAGCCAACGCUGAAAUUAGAAGAGGAAAGAAUGUGGACCGCAGGAACAGCAAAAGAAAGACACCACUGGUUUUGUCUGUUCCUGAUAAACGUCUAAAGUCAGUGUUAUGAGAGCGUCUUCAGACGCCAAGUGCCAGCGCCCGUUCCUGCUGCCCCCACUUAUCGCUGCAAAACAAAGUGGCCUUAUUUUUGUAAAUGGAUCCUUUAUCUGUGUAAACACAAAACGCUUGUGUCUUGGAAUUAGUUCCUCGGCUCUUGAGCCAUAACCAAUUUACCUUUAAUGAUCGAGAAACAUAAGACUUGUGGGUGUUACCUCAUCAUUUUAACUCAUUUU